GGCUAGUGAUCAUGAACCAGUGAUUAGGGGAAACAAGGAAAAGUUGGAAAGAGCCAACGGCGGCGGUGGGAAAGUUCUUGCCCCUGAAAAUUUCAAUGACAACUGUCCUCCUCCACCUCCUAAACCUGAAUGUCCACUUCCACCCCCGCCUCCACCUCCUCCCCCUCCUGUACCAAAAUGUACACUUCCCCCACCCCCACCCCCACCCCCACCUCCACCUCCGCCUCCGCCUCCGCCUCCGCCUCCGCCUCCUGUACCAAAAUGUACAUUUCCCCCACCUCCACCUCCACCUCCUCCGCCACCACCUCCUCCUCCGCCUCCAUGUAAGUUCAAGACAAAAAGCGGCUGCUUCAGAAACCAGCGGCUAGCAAAAGCCCACAACGUGAUCCAAACAUUCAAGAGCAAAAUCCUAGUCGACGAGAACAGCAAAAAAUUCACAAAGACAUGGCGAGGC
rnacentral:lncRNA from 1 species